UACGUAGGGUGCAAGCGUUGUCCGGAAUUAUUGGGCGUAAAGAGCUCGUAGGCGGUCUGUCGCGUCUGCUGUGAAAACUCAGGCUUAACCCUGAGCUUGCAGUGGGGUACGGGCAGACUAGAGUGCGGUAGGGGAGACUGGAAUUCCUGGUGUAGCGGUGAAAUGCGCAGAUAUCAGGAGGAACACCGGUGGCGAAGGCGGGUCUCUGGGCCGUAACUGACGCUGGAGGAGCGAAAGCAUGGGGAGCGAACAGG
rnacentral:rRNA from 1 species